rnacentral:rRNA from 1 species
UACGGAGGGGGCUAGCGUUGUUCGGAAUUACUGGGCGUAAAGCGCACGUAGGCGGCUUUGUAAGUUAGAGGUGAAAGCCCAGGGCUUAACCCUGGAAUUGCCUUUAAGACUGCAUCGCUAGAAUCGUGGAGAGGUGAGUGGAAUUCCGAGUGUAGAGGUGAAAUUCGUAGAUAUCAGGAGGAACACCUGUGGUGUAGACAGCUUACUGGACCAUUUCUGACGCUGAGACACGAAAGCGUGGGUAGCAAACAGG